CCUACGGGUGGCAGCAGUCGAGAAUCAUUCACAAUGGGGGAAACCCUGAUGGUGCGACGCCGCGUGGGGGAAUGAAGUUCUUCGGAUUGUAAACCCCUGUCAUGUGGGAGCAAAUUAAAAAGAUCGUACCCCAAGAGGCAGAGACUGCUAACUCUGUGCCAGCAGCCGCGGUAAUACAGAGGUCUCAAGCGUUGUUCGGAAUCACUGGGCGUAAAGCGUGCGUAGGCUGUUUCGUAAGUCGUGUGUGAAAGGCGCGGGCUCAACCCGCGGACGGCACAUGAUACUGCGAGACUAGAGUAAUGGAGGGGGAACCGGAAUUCUCGGUGUAGCAGUGAAAUGCGUAGAUAUCGAGAGGAACACUCGUGGCGAAGGCGGGUUCCUGGACAUUAACUGACGCUGAGGCACGAAGGCCAGGGGAGCGAAAGGGAUUAGAUACCCCAGUAGUC
rnacentral:rRNA from 1 species